rnacentral:rRNA from 1 species
AGAGUUUGAUCAUGGCUCAGAGCGAACGCUGGCGGCGUGCCUAACACAUGCAAGUCGAACGUGAAAAGGGGCAACCCUGAGUAAAGUGGCGUACGGGUGAGUAACGCGUAGGUAAUCUACCCCAGAGUCUGGAAUAACCUGCCGAAAGGCGGGCUAAUACUGGAUAGAGCGACGGAAUCCGUAAUUGGGUUUUUCGGGAAAGGGAGGAAGCAAUUCCCUUCGCUUUGGGAUGAGCCUGCGUCUCAUUAGCUAGUUGGUGGGGUAAUGGCCCACCAAGGCAUUGAUGGGUAGCUGGUCUGAGAGGAUGAUCAGCCACACUGGAACUGAAACACGGUCCAGACUCCUACGGGAGGCAGCAGUGGGGAAUCUUGCGCAAUGGACGAAAGUCUGACGCAGCCACGCCGCGUGAGUGAAGAAGGCCUUCGGGUUGUAAAGCUCUGUCGAGCGGGACGAAAAAUUAUUAGGUGAAUAGCCUAGUAAUCUGACGGUACCGCUAAAGGAAGCACCGGCUAACUCCGUGCCAGCAGCCGCGGUA